rnacentral:rRNA from 1 species
CAAGCCUAAAUUUAUUCAUAGGACGAAAAGACCCUGUCGAGCUUUAAAUUUUUANUUUAAUUUUUUUCUUUUGUAGAAGAAUUGUUUUUAUUUAUUUUGUUUGUUGGGGUGACAGAAGAACAUUCAAAGCUUCUUCUAAUUGAAUUAAACUUUUUAGUUUGUUGAUCUUCUAAUGGNAAAAAAAAGAAUAGUUACCGCAGGGAUAACAGCGUAAUUUUUUUGGAAAGUUCAAAUUAAAAAAAAAGUUUGCGACCUCGAUGUUGGAUUAGAAUUCCUAAUAAGUGCAGAAGCUUAUUUGUGGAGGUCUGUUCGCCCUUUA